rnacentral:lncRNA from 1 species
UUCACCAAGUAACCUGAUUCUAUUGACAAUCAAAGAAAUUCUGUCAGAAUACUUAGUAAUUAUCUUACCUUCUUGCAUCCUAAAAGAUUCAAAAUAUCUUUUCAAAUUGAGAAUUUGAUUUUGUAUGUCUCGUUCACUUCUUUGGUACUCCCUUCAAGAUUUUCCCAAGCUUUUAUUGUUGUUUCACAUGCAAUGAUUUUAGAAAAAAUUGAAUCAACAACUCAAUUUUGAAUUAUAAUUUUUAUUUUAGUUUUUUCAAUUCAUCUUCUGAGUGAAGUUUGAUUGCGGCAGCAGAAGAAUUUGCAGGAGUGGUUGUAUAGGUUUUCUUUCUUUAGAACUUCCCACAAAUCAUAAGCUUCAAGAUAAGAUUUCAUCUUAACUCCUCAAAUUUAAUAAUUUCCACCGGUGAAGGUUUGUGGGACAUUGAAAGAGAGAGUAUUGCUUGUCAUGGUUUAAAAAAUAAGAUUUAAAGUAAUAUGGGUUAAAAAUUAAUUAAAAAUAGCCCUGCGUUAAAAAUAAAAGUCAGGAUUAAAAGUAGUCCUAUAUUAAAAAUAAAAGUAAGGAUUAAAAGUAGGUUGAAAAUAGGUAUGGAUUUAAAGUUGUUGAAAGUUUUUUUCUUCAAUAAAUUCACAGAUCCAUGAGGAUCGAUGAAGGCUCUGAUACCACUGUUAUGGAAUGAAAGAGGCAAGAAAGAAAAUUAAACAGAAACUGAAUGAUAACUCUUGAUAUUGAUUCUUUUCAUUGAUUCAAAUAGAAGAGUACAUCUCUAUUUAUAAGAAACUAAAUAAAAUAAAUAAGAAAAAUAUGAUAUUUUUCUUAUAACUAUUAGACUAAAUAUUCUACAAUUAAUAAACCCUAAACUUAAAAGAAAGUAAAUAAUGUAAAAUAUUUUUAGACUAAAAAAGAAUAUUCUAUCAUUAAUGAAAAUCAUAAAAUAGAAGAAUUGUAAAUCUCAACAGGGAGGUGUUCUUUUAGUGGAACUUUGAACUCAAUUCUUAUCCAAAGUUGUUGAGUUGUUCGUUGUGAGAAGGUUGUUGUAUCCUGGAGGGGACAAGUCAAGAAGAUUACUGCUAGACUGAUAAAAAUAUUUAUUGCGGCGGGCUUGAAUCUCCUUAAAGACAGCGAGAUAUCCGCGCCUCAACCGAAGAAGAAAAAGAUAUAUUUUUUCAUUUUCUUCACUUGUAAACUGUUCAGCUGUACUAUUAUUGUAAUUUUCACCAACAUUCACUAUAUAGACAGUUAUGUCUAUAACAUUUAAAACUACUACAUUUAGCACAUGAACUUCUUGGUGGGGUAGCCAAAAUUCUAGAACUCAAAACUCAUCAUGUUGGACUCCAAAAAGAUUAUUGAAGACAAUAUAAUGAUGUUAGGUAUCUAGCCAUCGUAACAUUUAUGGACCGUUAUUAGGAUAAUUUACUUAAAUACAUAAAUUUAAGAGAUAUAAAUACAUAAAACUUCUUAUCUUUAAAAUAUUUCAUAAAAUUUUAUAUUUCUCCUUUUUCUCUUGAUACAUAUUAAAUAAAGAAGCAAUAAAUUUGUGUUUAUUUAAAAGAGUAAAUCAUAGGAGAAAAUCUCUUAAAUAUCUAAAACAAAAAAAAAUCAAAUCAAAAAUUUUCUAUCAGAUCUUAUCAUUUGCAAUUUACAAUUUAGUUUUUUUUUUAUUUCUAUUAAUCAUUUUUUAAAAAAAAUAUGAAAGUUUUACUGUUUGCUUCAUGUUGACAAGCAUUCAUAUUUUUUUGAAGAAUCUUCAUACUACAGAAGUUAAAAAAUCUCAUAAUUUUUGACGGAACCAUGACAAUGACGAUGACCACUGGAAUAACAACAUCCUCCCGUUGGCUGCUUGUCAACCCUUUAAGAAAAUGCCCAUUAGUAGAAAAAUGAGAAAUUGAACAAUGUUGCUAGAUUUUCGAUGAGAAUGGUGACAAAGAAAAUGAUGGCAGUGGAGAAGUUGUUAGUGUAUUUGACUGCUUUUCAAUGAAGGUUGGGAGAGUUAAUGGAUAGUAGUGUAGAUGGAGAAGAAUGUACUUGCAUGCUAAUCUAUCAUAGUCUACUAAUUCAUAUACAAUAUGAAGUUUAUUAGUAUUUGUUCAUGAAACAUGUGAAUGUAUCACUAUGCAUAUGUAUCAUAGUAAAAAGAAUGUAAUAUUUGUUCUUGAUAUAUAUGCAUGUACUUGCAUGUGUGCAUAUUCAUCUUAAUACAAAAAAUGUAUUUUUUUUUAUUCAUGAUACAUAUGAAUACAUCUACAUGCUCAUGUAACUCAUUUAUCAAUUUUUUUUAUGUAUACAGUAAAUUAGUACGUAUUUAUGUUUUUAUAUUAUUCUUGAUAUUAAAUUCAUCAAUAUUUAUCAAAAUGAAUUAAUUAAUCACAAGUAACAAGUAUACAUACAUCAGACAUAUGUAUCAAAUAAAUGUAUUUGAUACAUAUUAAGAACUUGUAUUAUUUUUUUUUCAUAAUUUAAGGAGAGAAAAGACAUGAUUUCCCCUCUGAACUUGUCCACUCAACUCACUUUAGCACUUAAACUAAACUUUUGUUUAUUUACUCCCCUUAACAUCUUUAAAGUGUAUUAUUUUCACCCCUCAAAACGGAAUACAACUCUCAAAAUGGAGAGUGUGUUACACUCGCCUACACAUCAACGCCAUGUCAAUGCCACGUUGGAGCCACGUCAUUGCAACGUAAGAAAUUACUAUUUUUCUAAAUAAAAAUUAAUCCCCCUUACAUUAUUUUUAUAUAUUUUUCUUUUAAAAAAUAAAAAAUAUGUAUGUACUAUUUUAUUUAUAUAAAUAUAUAUAUAUAUAUAGGGAAUAUAAAAUUAUGAAAAAUCUGUUCUUAUCACCAUCAAAGUGGUACAACCACAAUUAAAGAAGUACAGGAAAGGGUUUUGGGAAUCCAAAAUAAUUAUAAAUAGAAUUAAAGAAGACAUGACGAAUCUGCGAAAUUACCUUCGUAAAAUCUAUCGGUUAAAAACUACUUCAGUUAAUUUUGAAAUUAAUAAUUUUAAAAUACUAUUACUUAGAGCUUUAGAUAGAAAUCGUGCUUUAAAAAACACACAUGUUUUUCUGUUAGAAGGAUAUAAGGCUAAGAUAAAGAAAUACGUUCUUUAUACUGCCUAAUACGUUAUUACACUAUUUUUUAGAUGAAAAACAUUAAUCACCAUUUUAAAGGUGAUAAAAUUAAAUAAAAUUUACAAGAAUUUUUUUUUUUGAAAAAAUUAUAAAUCAUCUUGUCCAAGAACAAUGGUCUAUUCAUUGCUAUUCACACGUGGAUAGUGAUGAUGAUCCAUACUAUUGGUAUGAUGAUGGUUAUUUCACUGAUUAAGUGAAUAAAAAUUUCGCAUGCAUACCCUGUUUGCAACAAUAAAAUGAUGCAAACAGGGUGUGCAUGCGGAAUUUUUAUUUACUUAAUCAGUGAAAUAACCAUCAUCAUACCAAUAGUAUGGAUCAUCAUGACUAUCCACAUAUGAAUAGUCAUGAAUAGACCAUUGUUCUUGGACAAGAUGAUUUAUAAUUUUUACAAAAAAAUUUUCUUGUAAAUUUUUAUUUAAUUUUAUCACCUUUAAAAUGGUGAUUAAUGUUUUUUCAUCUAAAAAAAUAGUGUAAUAGCUCAUUAGGCAGUAUAAAGAACGUAUUUCUUUAUCUUAGCCUUAUAUCUUUGUAAUAGAAAAACCUGUUUUUUUUAUAGCAUGAUUUCUAUCUAAAGCUCUCAGUAAUAGUAUUUUAAACUUGUUAAUUUCAAAAUUAACCGAAGUAGUUUUUAACCGAUAGAUUUUACGAAGGUAAUUUCGCAAAUUUGUCAUGUCUUCUUUAAUUAUAUUUAUAAUUAUUUUGUAUUCCCAAAACCCUUUUCUGUACUUCUUUAAUUGUGGUUGUACCACUUUCAUGGUGAUAAGAACAAAUUGUUCAUAAUUUUAUAUUCCCUAUAGGUACUUAGUAACACAUAGUAUGUAUGAAUGUAUAAAGUAGAUAUGAAAACAAAUUUUUCUUAUGUUAAUAUCUUCUUGAAAUGAUAGAGUUUAGGUAUAUACCUUUCAACUUUUUUCUAUAUUGGCUAUAUCAACACUGCAGUUUUUCUCCUUCCGGCUAUGAAGAACUAUUUAGCCUAUUGCGACUCACUGUCUCAGGCUACUGUGUUGUCCUUCCUCUGUCGAGGCUGAAGAUCGCAACCUUUGUUUAUCACCAACAUACAAGAAUGACAAAAGAUAUAAAACAAAUUUUUUUAUUUCAUGAAGAGAAUACAACAUAGGAAAAAUCUUUUUUCAGAUCUUCCUUAUACUUUUACACAAAUUAUUUUUUUACUUUUCCCUUGCGGGAGAAGUAUUUCUCACUCACUCAUAUUGAAGAUACCUAACAUUUUCUAAGAGAG